UACCUGGUUGUUCCUGUCAAUAGCAUAUGGUUGGCUCAAAGAUUAAGCCAGGUAUGUCUAAGUACACAUGGCCAGUACCCUGAAACUGUGAAUGGCUCAUUAAAUCAGUUACGGUUCCUUCGGUCACUGUACCCAUUACCUGGAGAACGGUGGUAAUUCCAGACAUGCCAAUGAGCUCUGACCUCAGGUGACGUAUGCAUUUAUCAGACCAAAACCAACCCACUCAUCUGCUUUCGUGAUUCUAGAUAAGCCUGGGCUACGCACACGACCCUGUGCUGAGAUGGUGCAACAAUGUCUGUCCUACCAACUUUUGAUGGUAUUUCAUGUAGCUAAGAUGGUGACCACGGGUAACAGGACAUCAGGGUUCAAUUCCAGAGACAGAGCCUGGGAAACAGCUACCGCAUCUGAGGAAGGCAGCAGGCAUCCACAUUACCCACUCUCAAGCUGGGGAGGUAGUUAUUGAAAAAUAGCAGUACGGGACUCUUUUGAGGCCCGGCGAUUGGAAUGAGUGCACUUUAAAGCCUUUAACGAGAUUCCACUGGAGCGUAAGUCUGGUGCCAGCAGCUGUGGUAAUUCCAGCUCAAACAGGGUACAUUGAAAUUGCUGCAAUUAAAAAGCUUGUCGUUGGAUAUUGGCAUAGGCAUCAAGUUCCUCUCUACCCAGGGGUGCUCGACACCCCCCACCCAAAGCCUGCCCCCACUUCACUCCUUCUUCCAAGCUCCCACCCCUGCCUGCCACUUCCUCCUGCCCUGCCUCUACCUGCCCCCGCCUGCCCCGUGGGUGGAAGGCAGUGGGAGGGAGGGGGAGGAGCUGAUCAGCAGGGCCGCUAGCGGGCGGGCGGACGGACGGCACUGGCAGGGGCAAGCCUGGCUGCUCCUGGGUGCUAAGCCCUGGAGCACCCACAGAGUCGGCCUGUAUGGAUCUUGGGAUCAACCUUGCAGUCUGCAGUGAGGUGAGCUUCUGCUUCUGCCAGCCCCUGCCUCUCAGUGCUCCCUCGCUACUCUUACCUGAGUGUCCUGGGGGUCUGAGGCAUUUACUUUGAAAAAAUUACAGUGUUCAGAGCAAGCCAGUAGCCAGAAUACCCCAGCUAGGGAUAACGGAGCAGGACUUCAGUUCUAUUGUGCUAGGUUUUGGACGGGGGCCAUAGCUAGCGGGCGGGCGGACGGACGGCACUGGCAGGGGCAAGCCUGGCUGCUCCUGGGUGCUAAGCCCUGGAGCACCCACAGAGUCGGCCUGUAUGGAUCUUGGGAUCAACCUUGCAGUCUGCAGUGAGGUGAGCUUCUGCUUCUGCCAGCCCCUGCCUCUCAGUGCUCCCUCGCUACUCUUACCUGAGUGUCCUGGGGGGCUGAGUGGCAUUAUUCCAAUGACCUACCGGGCAGCUUAUGGGAAGCCCGAGUCUUUGGGUUCUGGGGAAAGGAUGGUUGCAAAGCUGAAACUUAAAGUAAAUGAUCAAAGGACACCACCAGGAGUGCAGCCUACAGCCUAAUUUGACUCAUCACAGGAAACCUCCCCGAAUCCAGAGCUGGAAAGGAUUGUCAGAUUAAUAGCUCUUUCUUGUUCCAGCAGGUGCUGGUGGAUGGCUGUUCUUAGUUGGUGGAGUGACUUGGCUGGUUAAUUCGGAUAAUGAACGAGACUCUGGCAUGCUAACUAGUUCUGCGAUCUCUGAGCAGCCAGCUUCCAACUUCUGAGUGGGACAAGUGGGGUUCAGCCACCCAAGGCUGAGCAAUAUCAGGUCUGGGAUGCCCUUAGCUGUCCCAGGUUGCAUGCGCACCACAGAGGCUAGCCUAGGCUGUGUCUACCCUAGGCUGAAAGGUGUAGGUAACUUACUGAACUGCGUUCACGAUGGGGAUUGGGGAUUGCAAUUAUUCCCCAUGAAUGAGGCAUUCCUGGUAGGUGCAGAUCAUAAGCUAGUGUUACGUCCCUGCUCGUUGUACACACCACUCGUCACUGCUACCGACUGAAGGGUUUAGUAAGGUCCUUGGAUCGACCCUGCUGGGCUUGGUUAAUGGCCCUGGCGGAGCGCCGAGAAGACGGUCGAACUUGACUAUCUAGAGGAAGUAAAAGUCAUUAAAAUGUUUCCAAAGGUGAAGCUGCAGCAGGAUGAUUC
rnacentral:rRNA from 1 species